UACGGGGGGGGCAAGCGUUGUUCGGAAUUACUGGGCGUAAAGGGCUCGUAGGCGGCCAACUAAGUCAGACGUGAAAUCCCUCGGCUUAACCGGGGAACUGCAUCUGAUACUGGAUGGCUUGAGUUCGGGAGAGGGAUGCGGAAUUCCAGGUGUAGCGGUGAAAUGCGUAGAUAUUAGGAAGAACACCAGUGGCGAAGGCGGCUCACUGGCUCGGUACUGACGCUGAGGUGCGAAAGCGUGGGGAGCAAACAGG
rnacentral:rRNA from 1 species